GACGAACGCUGGCGGCGUGCUUAACACAUGCAAGUCGAACGGAAAGGCCCUGCUUUUGUGGGGUGCUCGAGUGGCGAACGGGUGAGUAACACGUGAGUAACCUGCCCUUGACUUUGGGAUAACUUCAGGAAACUGUGGCUAAUACCGGAUAGGAGCUCCUGCUGCAUGGUGGGGGAUGGAAAGUUUCGGCGGGUGGGGAUGGGCUGGCGGCUUAUCAGCUUGUUGGUGGGGUAGUGGCUUACCAAGGCUUUGACGGGUAGCCGGCCUGAGAGGGUGACCGGCAACAUUGGAAUGGAGAUGCGGCACAGACUCCUACGGGAGGCAGCGGUGGAGAAUGUUGCACAAUGGGAGGAAGCCUGAUGCAGCAACGCCGCGUGGGGGAUGACGGCCUUCGGGUUGUAAACCGCUUUCGCCUGUGACGAAGCGAGAGUGACGGUAAUGUGUAAAGAAGCACCGGCUAACUACGUG
rnacentral:rRNA from 1 species